rnacentral:lncRNA from 1 species
GCCACUGCUCACUCUGGCAAGACCGAGUGUGCAAACUUGCCUUUGCUCUUUUUGCUCCGAACAAACCCAGGCCACUCCCGCUGCUCAGGAGACAACCCUUGGACCUGUUUUCCUCCUAUGGUGACACUGACUUUCUUGUCUGUUUUUGAGCAGAAGAAGCAGAUACGAAACGGAGGCAGAGGAGCCAAGUUUUCUCUUCUUCUAGUUACCCAUUAGACAUCUGCAGGCCCAGGGCAAGGUCAGCAUUUCUGGCAAGUACAGCCCGUGUCCCUGUCGUGGUAAGGACAACUAUUGUUGAAGUGUUUGUAUGUGUCAAUAAUGUCUAAAAUAAAUAAAUCUUCACUUGACA